GGCCGUAGCUCAGUGGUAGAGCGCCUGCCUUGCAUGUGUGAGGCCCUGGGUUUGAUCCUCAGCACCA
rnacentral:tRNA from 1 species